UGGGGAAUUUUGGUCAAUGGGGGCAACCCUGAACCAGCAACGCCGCGUGGGUGAUGAAGGCCUUCGGGUUGUAAAGCCCUGUCGGGAGGGACGAAACUCCACCGUAAGGUGGUCUGACGGUACCUCCAAAGGAAGCACCGGCUAACUCUGU
rnacentral:rRNA from 1 species